rnacentral:rRNA from 1 species
UCAGGACGAACGGCUGGCGGCGACUGCCGUAACAACACUAGCAAGUCGAACGGACGAGGGUAGCAAUACCCGAGUUAGUAGGCGAACGGGUGAGUAACACGUGAGCAACCUGCCCUUUACACUGGGAUAGCAGUUGGAAACGACUGAUAAUACCGGAUAAGACCACGCUCCCGCAUGGGAGAGGGGUCAAAGCGAUUUAGCGGUAAAGGAUGGGCUCGCGUCCAAUUAGCUAGUUGGUGAGGUAACGGCCCACCAAGGCGACGAUUGGUAGCCGACUUGAGAGAGUGAUCGGCCACACUGGAACUGAGACACGGUCCAGACUCCUACGGGAGGCAGCAGUGGGGAAUAUUGGGCAAUGGAGGAAACUCUUACCCAGCCAAUGCCGCGUGAGGGAUGGAGGUCCUAUGGAUUGUAAACCUCUUUGAUUAGGGACAAAGAAAGUGAUGGUACCUAAAGAACAAGCCCCGGCUAACUAUGUGCCAGCCGCUGC